rnacentral:rRNA from 1 species
GAUGAACGCUGGCGGCGUGCCUAAUACAUGCAAGUCGAGCGAACAGACGAGGAUCUUGCUCCUCUCACGUUAGCCGCGGACGUGUGUGUCACACGUGGAUAACCUACCUAUAAGACUGGUAUAUCUUCGGAAAUCCGGCUCUAAUACCGUAUGAUAUAUUGAACCGCAGGGGGCAAUAGUGAAAGACGGCUUUGCUGUCACUUAUAGCUGGAUCCGCGCCUCAUUAGCUGGUUGGUAGGGUAACGGGUUACCACGGCAACGAUGCGUAGCCGAACGGAGAGAGGGAUAGGCGACACUGGAGCUGAGACACGGUCCAGACUCCUACGGGAGGCAGCAGUAGGGAAUCUUCCGCAAUGGGCGAAAGCAUGACGGAGCAACGCCGCGUGAGUGAUGAAGGUCUUGGGAUCGUAAAGCUCUGUUAUUAGGGAAGAACCAAUGUGGAAGUAACUAUGCACGUAUUGACGGUAACUAAUCAGAAAGCCACGGCUAACUACGUG